rnacentral:rRNA from 1 species
GAUGAACGCUAGCUACAGGCUUAACACAUGCAAGUCGAGGGGAAACGAUAGAGAAAGCUUGCUUUUUCUAGGCGUCGACCGGCGCACGGGUGAGUAACGCGUAUCCAACCUGCCCAUCACUUGGGGAUAACCUUGCGAAAGUAAGACUAAUACCCAAUGACGUCUCUAGAAGACAUCUGAAGGAGAUUAAAGAUUUAUCGGUGAUGGAUGGGGAUGCGUCUGAUUAGCUUGUUGGCGGGGUAACGGCCCACCAAGGCGACGAUCAGUAGGGGUUCUGAGAGGAAGGUCCCCCACAUUGGAACUGAGACACGGUCCAAACUCCUACGGGAGGCAGCAGUGAGGAAUAUUGGUCAAUGGACGAGAGUCUGAACCAGCCAAGUAGCGUGCAGGAUGACGGCCCUAUGGGUUGUAAACUGCUUUUAUAAGGGAAUAAAGUGAGUCUCGUGAGACUUUUUGCAUGUACCUUAUGAAUAAGGACCGGCUAAUUCCGUGCCAGCAGCCG